GAUGAACGCUGACAGAAUGCUUAACACAUGCAAGUCGAUGGGGAAGUGGUGCUUGCACCAUGGCAACCAUGGCGGACGGGUGAGUAACGCGUAAGGGACUUACCUGCAGGACUGGGAUAACAGGGGGAAACUCCUGACAAGACCGGAUAAUGUCAUGGAGCUGCAUGGCUUUAUGAUGAAAGGAGACGCCUGCGGAGAGCCUUGCGUCCUAUUAGCUAGUUGGUGAGGUAAUGGCUCACCAAGGCGAAGAUAGGUAGCCGGCCUGAGAGGGUGGACGGCCACAAGGGGACUGAGAUACGGCCCUUACUCCUACGGGGGGAAGCAGUGGGGAAUAUUGGACAAUGGGGGCAACCCUGAUCCAGCAAUUCUGGGGGCACGAAGAAGGUUUUCGGAUUGUAAAGUGCUUUCAGCAGGGAAGAAGUAAGUGACGGUACCUGCAAAAGAAGCGACGGCUAAAUACGU
rnacentral:rRNA from 1 species